AUGGGGUGGCCUUGGUGAAGUUUUAGGUGGAAAUGAGCUUAUCGAUAGUCAGAUUGACCUAAGGUUUCAAAAAAAUGUGGACAAGGGUAGCAUUUGUGAACUUGAGCUUGAUGAGAUGAAGGUUAAGCAAUUCAAGGAUGCUAUUGAAAACAAUUACUGGUCUGAAUUCUUUAUUGAUGACCUGCCUUUAUGGGGUAUGUGCUCUCCUAGCUUUCUCUCCUUCUCUUGCAAAUUUCCUUUUCUUACUUGAUGUAUGGGUAAGUGGUUCUGCUUUGUGCUUUAUUUUGGUGUUUUAGGUUUUGUUGGUGAGCUACAUACCGACAGAAUCAGUGAUAACAAGCAUGUGCUUUACACACAUAAGAAUAUUAAUAUUAAAUACAACAAGGACCAGAUCAUUCAUGUUAAUCUCUCUCAGGAGAGCCCAAAGCCUUUGGAAGCUGGAAGAACAUUGGACAUGACAUAUUCUGUCAAA
rnacentral:misc_RNA from 1 species